CUGUCUGGAAGAUCCCAUGGAAACACACAUGGUCUUUUUGUUUUUCUUAACAAAAGACAAAGACAAAACAUUCUUGAGCUUUGAUCCGAUUCCAGGGACUCCGGUCUUGGAUUCCUUCAUCACUGUCUUCUAUCUGUUAUUCUCCUUUUUUUAAUAGGCCUUUUAGGUCAACCAUUGGAUUUAUGCGGAGAAAAAACGAUGCUGGAAACAAUCGCUGACUAAGACCAAGUGUUACAGAGCUUGAGAAGAAGGUGUCCAGUGUUGGGUCCCUCCCCGGUGCUGGUUGCCUACCUCAUUGCAGGAGAGAAAGGCAAGGGUCCUGCUUAAAGAUGUGGAGAAAGCCUUGUGAGGAAGCAGCAGGAGUGGCUCAAGUCCUAGGAUGAGGAAACUGAGGCUCAAGGUCACACAGCAGAGAAGUAUCUGAGGCCAGAUUUGAAUUUCUGACUCCAAGCUCAGCACUCUCUCCACUAUGGUGCCGUCUAGUUUCCCCUUCACACACUGAUUUUAGAAAGGCCUGGAAAGAUUUACACCAACUAAUACCGAAUGAAAUAAGGAAAACCUGUGUACAGCAACAGCAAGAUUGUGCAAUGAUCAACUAUGACAGACUUUGUGGUUUUCAAUGGUUCAGUGAUUCAAGGCAAUCCUAAUAAACUUGGGAUGGAAAAUGCCAUCUACAUCGAGAGAGAAUUAUGGAGAUAAUGUAAAUCAAUACAUGCUAUGUUCAAUUUUUUUUCUUUUUCUAUCUUUCUUGGUUUUUCUUCUAAUAUGAUUCAUAAGAAAAUAUCAAAAAUUAAUGUAUAUGUAUAAUCAAAAAAAAUUUUAUAUGUAACUGGGGAAAAUAAAAAAGACACAAAAAUGUUUCCAUGCCAAUUUAUUGAACAAGAUUUUAAUUAUGUUCUGAAAAGGAUGCAUUUAAUAUUUAUUUUUCUGCAAUUAGUUAUAAGGUUUUUAAUGCCUAAAUAUAUGGUCAAUUCUUGUGUAGAUGCCAUGUACCACUGAGAAAAAGAUAUAUUCCUUUUCAUUCCCAUUUAGUUUUCUCCCAAGAUCUAUCAUAUCCAAGCUAUCAUAUUUUCUAAAAUUCUGCCCAUCUCUUUAACUUGUUUUGCUUAUUUUUGGCUAGAUUUAUGUAGUUCUGAAAGGAAAAUGUUGAGGCUUCCAACUAAUAUAGUUUUACUAUAUUUUCUUCUGUAAUUUUUAAUUUUUCCUUUAAGAUUUUGGAUGCUACACCAUUUGAUGCAUACAGGUUUAGUGUUGAUAUUACUUCAUUGCUUAUACCUUUCUAGCAAAAUGUAGUUCCCUGCUUAUCUUUUAAUUAGAUCUAUUUUUGCCUUUGCUUUGUCUGAGAUCUUGAUUGCUUCCCCUUCCUUUUUUAACUUCAGCUGAAGCAUAAUAGAUUCUGCUCCAGCCCCUUAUUUUUACUCUGCAUAUAUGUCUCUGGUUCAAAUAUGUUUCCUACAAAUAAUAUUUUGUCAGAUUUCAGUCUCUAAUCGAUUUCACUAUUCACUUCUAUUUUUUAUGGAUGAGUUCAUGCCAUUCAUAUUCACAGUUACAAAUAAUGUUUUUCCCUCCCUCCUAUUUUUCUCCCUUUUAACCUCUCUCUUCCUCUGUUUUUCAAUGCUGUGGUACAAGGAUAUGUAGCUGAACACUAAGGGAUAUGAUGACAAGGGUGACUCCUUCCUCAUUUGAGGGUGAAAGUGGUGCUGCCUGUGAAAAGAAAGGGAGGUGGUAUGACAUUUUGGGUCAGGAAGACCUGGAUUCAAAUCAAAACUUUGAUAUUUUUAUUCCCUUAUGCAAAUCACAACACUUCUAUCAGUCUCAUUUCCUUAUUUGUUUAAAAAAAAAAAAAAGAAGUAGUAAGACCUCAAAGGUUCCUUCCAGUCCCAAACAAAUGCUGGGAGCUUUUAUCCUUCAUCACGUAUCUACAGGGUUGAGUAGCAAAUAAUACUAAUUUCUAGUUCUGGCUCUCAGUAUUCUUGGGGAGAGAACUCUUUUCAAAAGUGUUUCUCAUUGAUAAAUGAGGAUAAGAAUACACUUGUCAUCUAUCUCACUGAGAGAAAAAGUAGGUUUGUACAUGCAAUGUAAAGGGCUAUAUAGAUGUGAACUAGUUGGAUUAACUCUUGUUAUAUAUGAUUAAACUGAGGGGUGAAGAAAAAGAAUCAUGUAUUUUUGCUUUACUGUCUAAAAUUAUUGAGAUCCAGAAUAACAAGUUAGGAUUAUGAUAGAUUCCAAGUCCACAUAUAUCAUGCAUGAUCAUAUGAUGUCGUAUAUUACAGUGGUCCUCAAAGUGUAGUCCAAAGAAUUGUUGGGGUCUCUGAAACCCUUUCAGAAAGUCUACAAAUUCAAAAUCAUUUUUUAUUUCUAACAUAAUAAAUAACUAUAAAUAUAACCCAUGUGAACAAAAAGUCUUUGAUCAGAUCCUCGAUAGUUUUUGAACAACAUGAAGAUACUGAGAACAAAAGUUUGAGAACCACUGUCGUAUAAUCACAAAGAUCAUAUUUGCUGCCCUCAAAUAGAUAUGUGUGAUAGAGCAUAAAACACCCAAGAAUUUGUCUGAGAAUCAAAUACCUAUAGAACUGAAA